rnacentral:rRNA from 1 species
GACGAACGCUGGCGGCGUGCCUAAUACAUGCAAGUUGAGCGAUGAAGCUUGGUGCUUGCACCCAUUUGAAGAGCAGCGAACGGGUGAGUAACGCGUGGGGAAUCUGCCUUUGAGCGGGGGACAACAUUUGGAAACGAAUGCUAAUACCGCAUAAUAACUUUAAACAUAAGUUUUAAGUUUGAAAGAUGCAAUUGCAUCACUCAAAGAUGAUCCCGCGUUGUAUUAGCUAGUUGGUGAGGUAAAGGCUCACCAAGGCGAUGAUACAUAGCCGACCUGAGAGGGUGAUCGGCCAGAUUGAGACGGAGACACGGCCCAAACUCCUACGGGAGGCAGCAGUAGGGGAUCUUCGGCAAUGGACGAAAGUCUGACCGAGCAACGCCGCGUGAGUGAAGAAGGGUUUCGGAUCGUAAAACUCUGUUGGUAGAGAAGAACGUUGGUGAGAGUGGAAAGCUCAUCAAGUGACGGUAACUACCCAGAAAGGGACGGCUAACUACGUG